rnacentral:lncRNA from 1 species
ACAAAGAAUGAUGAAAAUUCUUAGUAGACCAUGAAAUCCAAAAUGUUGCUGCCCAAUGUAGCUUGGUCCAAAGAACUCAAUUCUCGCGGGUCCGCGCAAAGGAACUCCAAUUGCCAAAUUUCUCACCAAAAUUUACACUUCCUCAUUAUUCAACAAAUUGCAUUUAACUUUAAAGCAUGGGUCCCACCGUGUGAUUGCAAAUUCCAGUAGCUGCCAAUACACACUUCUAAUUACUCAACACAUAACUAUUUUUUGUUAGUUAAAAGCACCCACAAUCACGCUUUCACCAAUUCAACAAUUUCCAAUUUGCUUUCACUAAUUCUACUUUAAUUUCUUCAAUUAAUUGCACACCUUGCUAGUACUUGAUUCACGCUGCACCUUCGACACACCAUUUCUCAUCAAAUUCUUCAAAUUUACGGACCCCACCAUUCACUCUUCAAUUCACAGAAACUGAAUGCCACUGGACUUCGCUACAGCUCACACAAUUCUAAUUCAUGCUUAUUGAACAAACACCUUGGCUGCAAUGAAUCAAUUCAUACGAAACAUUACAGUUCCUUUUUGGUUCGUGCUCGCUGAAUCUCAAAUUCUCCAGCAAAUCGCUUCAAAUCGAUCGUCUUCUCCGUUAACCGGUUUCGCCGGAAAAUUGAAACUCCUCUGUUACUGAUUCUUCCAGCAACGCACCAAAUCUCAAGCAAAUUCUGAUUUCGGCGGUUCAAAUCUCCUUACCGCAAGAUCUCAUUCAGUGUUCUCCAAUCACUUGAUUUAAAAAUCGUUCCAGAGAAUGAAGAAUGUAGAUGAAAACGCACCGGAAACUCACAGUUUCAACAAUUUAGGUCGCCGGAAAACACAACUCCUCGCUGAUUUAGGUCACUGGAAACCGCAAAAACCUCUGUCCACUGAUUAUGUUCGCCGGAAGCCGCAAAACCUCCUUACACCAAUUUCGUUUGCCAAAAACCGCAAAACACCUCCGUUCGUGAUUCCUCCAACACCACACCGCUUCAAUUAGAUUUCACACCGAACAAAUUCUUCGUCAAACUUAUGUUUCUCACCUUCGCACCAAACUCAGCUCACACGUUUUCAAAAUCACAUCAAGAAUGAAGAACAAGAUGAACGGAUUGAAAACGCAUAUGAACGUGAACGUGAACGUGCAACAGAUUUUCGUGAAAUUUUGACAAUACAAACGGAUUCAGAACUGCUAUUCGCACCACAGAUCCAAUGAGAUCUCACAAACAAAUCCAAAUUACUCUUCACACCUGGAAAUUUCUUUUAGAACCACGAACAAUUUUCGGAAAAUUUUUCGAGAAUUUUCGAAAAUGAAUUUUGAGAGAAUAAUAAUGGAAACCUAACUCAAAGAAAAUUGCUAAUGAU